GCACCGGGAUGGAGCUACCCCACCGGGAGGGUAAUGUUUCGGGAAAGAAAACAAAGAUGAGGGUGGCCCGAACUAGG
rnacentral:lncRNA from 1 species